AUACUUACUUGGACGGGGUCAAUGGGUGAUCAAUAAGACCCAUGGCCUAGGCUUGUGACCACCAUUGCACUUUGGAGGGGUGCCUGCCUAAGGUCGGCCCAAGUGGUCGAGCCUGAUACAAGAAAGAC
rnacentral:snRNA from 1 species